AGCAGCUGGAUUAAACACGGUUAAAAUGCUGACAGCUUACAGCACCUUUAAAUGGUGUGACUGUAUUUCACUGUAGAAGAUUCCAACACCGAGACGUAACAGUCCGCAGCUGCCGUUGUC